GAGGGAAGGAGGAGUGGAUACAAACAAUGGCCAAUGAUGGAUGAAGGAACACCUGGGGUUGCAAGGUGUAGACUUGAGAUAACUGGUGGAUGCAGCCAAUAGCGAUAAUGGGAGUGCCCAGGCUCCGGCACGGCCUGCUACACAGAGGUGAAUGUCAGACUAGCCACUUGACUCCCUUUGACAAUCCUCCGAGAAUUCCCUACUGCAAAUGCAAUCACCAUUUCUUUUCAUUUUUCUUUUUGUAAAAUAUAUCCACCUACUCAAAGAGACAGAUGCUAGGCAGGGUAAAAAGAGGCAGAAGUUAGGCAAGACUGUUUUGUUCAGCACCCAAGAAUGUUAAUCCUCAGAGUUGUGCCCUGAAGAUUAACAGCCUCAUUUUCUGAUGAGGACACUGAGGCCAAGAAAGGAAAAGUGACUUGAUUCAAGGCACACAGCUAGGAAGUAAUGGCGUUGGGUGUUACACCUGUCUGUCUAUUGCAAAGCCUUCCAAACCUGCUCAGUUUCUCCACUGCAGGGAUGUCAGACCAAGGGCCUUUCUCUGCCCCUUCUAUGUAAGCAGGCAGGUGGGUAUUUGCUCUACGGAUGAAGCUGGAUCUGCCUCUGCUGUUGUGGGAGACAUGAGGACAGAGGCUGCAGCUCUUGGACUAAGCUCUGCUGCUUUCAAGCUGUGUGGUCUUGGGCAAAUCACUCAGGUUCUCCGAGGCUCUGUCUCAUCACCUGUCAAAGGCAGAUAAUGAAUCCUUCCUGUUGCAGGCAUUGAGAGGAUUAAGCUGGAUUAGACUUUCAGACUUACCUCUAUUGUGAUGGUGGAAGUACAGAGUGAAAUGAAAACAGAGAGAGUAGACAUCUCUCUCUUAACGUAAUGGAAGCAAGGAAGGCUGUAGGAAAGAAGAGACAGCUGAGACCUGGAGGAUGAAUGAGGAACUGGCUUCAACAGGAGGACAUGUGACACUUUCGGGCUGAAGCACUUAAGAGCCAGUGUGCCCUGUCCAUUUCUGUCUUCUGUCCUGUGGAUUUGGAAGCAUGUGUUGACAGAACAAUGUCUUAUGGUGAAGGAAGCCUAAACCCCUGAGUCAUUGGAUGGAGGAGAGCCCAUGUUGACCCAUAAAGGACUUCAUGGUCUCGCUCUGUCACCCAGGCUGGAGUGCAGGCGUGCUAUCUUGGCUCACUGCAACUUCUGCUUCCCGAGUUCAAGAGAUCCUCAUACCUCAGCCUCCUGAGUAGCCGGGACUACAGGCAUGCGCCACCACACCCAGGUAAUUUUUGUAUUUUUAGUAGAGACAGGGUUUCAUCAUGUUGGCCAGGCUGGUCUUAAACUCCUGGCCUCAUGUGAUCUGCCUGCCUUGGCCUCCCAAAGUGCCAGGAUUACGGGAGUGAGCCACUGCAUCCGGCUUGAUUUUACACUUUGUUAUAUUGAAUGAUUACUGAAAAACAGUCUGAAAAACAAUGGGGUAAAAUAGGUUCUGUAACAUUGUAAUGGCUGCAUUCAUAAACAUUCAUAAAAUUACACUGAUUGAUUGAUGUGGAAAAUAAAUAUAAGAGACAUGGUCUCUGUCUUCAAGGAGUAUAUCAGUGAUUAUAUAGUCAUAGCAUCCUAUUCUACAAAUAUAAUAUUUAGCUAGUUUUAUAUUAUUUGAAAUUUAGACUUCUAGUUUUUCUCUGUUAUAUAUAUAAAAAGUGAACAUCUUAAUACAUAUUCGUUCACUACGACGGAAAUUCCCAUGUUUUAAAUUCCAGUCUUAUACAUGGAAUUGUCAUGUUGAAUAUUAUGUCCUUUUAAAAGUAAUUGACUUAAAAAUCUUUGAAUCAAACACUCGAAGUUGUUUGAGUGCCUUUUUCCUCAUAGCCUCACCAACACAGAUAAUCACUUUUAAAAUUAUUGGUCAUCUGAUAGGCAAAAGUUAUCUUGUUUUAACUUGAAUUUUUGAUUAUAAAAAUUGGUACAUUAAAAUGCUUUUGGGCUAAUUAAAAAUAUUGGAAACAGAAAGUAGGUAGUAACAUAACAUUUCAAAUAGCAUACUGAGGUAUAGAUGGUAAGUUUGUUUUCUCCCACCCCAGGCUCCUACACCCCAUCUCUGGAGCUGAACUCUCUAGUUAGCAUGUGCUUAACAUGACUGCAUGAGGGCAAGGGCUUUGUUUUCCCAGCGUGUAGAAUGAUGGCUGGCACACAACAGGUACUCAUUGGAUGCUUAUUAAAUAAAUAAGCACUUUCCUGAAUAGAGUAAUGAAAAUUUUCUAUGUAAACAUAAACACCUACAUGCAUACUUUUUAAUCCUUUUUAUAUUAUUAACAAAAAUGGGAACUCACCACACACACUAUUCUUAAAUGUCUCGAUAUUGUUCCAUAUAAACAUAUUUAGACUCCUUU
rnacentral:lncRNA from 1 species